UUUUUUUUUUUGUCCUUUUAAAAGGGGGGGGUGGGCAGCCAAGAAGAAACACAACUCUUCUGAGAGAUUGUUCACUGUUCAUUUAGUUAUUAACCUUGAACAACAACAAUGUCGGGAGGGAUUGCUCGUGGUCGUCUUGCUGAGGAGCGCAAAGCUUGGAGAAAGAAUCACCCCCAUGGUUUUGUUGCUAAGCCGGAGACACUUCCAGAUGGGUCAGUGAACUUGAUGAUUUGGCACUGCACUAUCCCUGGUAAAGCUGAGAGUCUUUCGCAGCAUGGAGAAAGAAAAUACACCCCAAUCCAUUAAUAGCCUCAGAAUUCCGACUAUCUUCUUAUUUUAAUAGAGAUCCUUUUUAAAAUUGCUAUGCGAUUUUCACAAACAAACAUUUGCUUUUGGCAAUGCAUAAUGUAUUUUUCUUGUUGGUGUUGCUUCCUUUUCAAAAUUGUUGAAAAGACCUUGAGGGAUGUUGAUGAGGUGCUUUGAGUUGUUGGUGUUCCCUA